rnacentral:lncRNA from 1 species
GGUCCUUGAUUUUUGAUUCAAUACUGAACCCUUCCUUUUUAAAAAAUCUGAAAUCAAUAUUUUUGCCGGGCUCUACCUUCCUAUCAAAUAAGGGAAUCUUACUAGGGCUAAUUUGAGACCUGGUUGAAGCUGGAGUUGAAGCAGCAGCAGGGUUUGAAGCAGAAGUAGUCUCUAUUGCAUGUCUCUUUUAACGCACACUAUCCUCCAACCCGCGGACUAAUUUCCUCCUCUGUGGAAGCUUCAUCUUCAGAGCCAUUU